CCUACGGGAGGCAGCAGUGGGGAAUAUUGGACAAUGGGCGAAAGCCUGAUCCAGCAAUUCCGCGUGUGUGAAGAAGGCCUUCGGGUUGUAAAGCACUUUAGUUGGGGAAGAAACAGCUUGGCCACACCAAGCCUUGACGGUACCCAAAGAAUAAGCACCGGCUAACUCUGUGCCAGCAGCCGCGGUAAUACAGAGGGUGCAAGCGUUAAUCGGAUUUACUGGGCGUAAAGGGUGCGUAGGUGGUUUUGUAAGUCGGAUGUGAAAGCCUGGGGCUCAACCUCAGAAUUGCACUCGAUACUGCAAGACUAGAGUUCGGUAGAGGGCGGCGGAAUUCCCGGUGUAGCGGUGAAAUGCGUAGAUAUCGGGAGGAACAUCAAUGGCGAAGGCAGCCGCCUGGGCCUGAACUGACACUGAGGCACGAAAGCGUGGGUAGCAAACAGGAUUAGAUACCCUGGUAGUCCACGCUGUAAACGAUGAGAACUUGACGUUGGUUCGUUUUACGAAUCGGUGUCGCAGCUAACGCGAUAAGUUCUCCGCCUGGGGAGUACGGCCGCAGGUUGAAACUUAAGGAAUUGACGG
rnacentral:rRNA from 1 species